UACAUAGGAUGCAAGCGUUAUCCGGAUUUACUGGGCGUAAAACGAGCGCAGUCGGAUUAACAAGUUUGGUAUGAAAGGCUUUUGCUUAACGAAAGUUUGUAUCAAAAACUGUUAGUCUAGAGUGUAGUAGAGAGUUCUGGAAUUCCAUGUGGAGCGGUGGAAUGCGUAGAUAUAUGGAAGAACACCAGUGGCGAAGGCGAGAACUUAGACUAUCACUGACGAUUAGGCUCGAAAGUGUGGGGAGCAAAUA
rnacentral:rRNA from 1 species